GGGUCCGCACAAGCGGUGGAACAUGUGGUUUAAUUCGACGCUACGCGAGGAACCUUACCUGGGCUUGACAUAUACUUGAUCGCUACAGAGAUGUGGUUUUUCGAACUUGUUCGGACAGGUAUACAGGUGCUGCAUGGCUGUCGUCAGCUCGUGUCGUGAGAUGUUGGGUUAAGUCCUCUAACGAGCGCAACCCCUGCUGCCAGUUGCUAUCUACCUUCGGGUGGAGCACUCUGGUGGGACUGCCUGGGAAACCAGGAGGAAGGUGGGGAUGACGUCAAGUCAUCAUGGUCCUUAUGCCCAGGGCUACACACGUGUUACAAUGGCCGGUACAAUGAGAAGCGAACUCGCGAGAGUGAGCUAAUCUUCAAACCCUAUCUCAGUUCGGAUCGGAGUCUGCAACUCGACUCCGUGAAGUUGGAAUCGCUAGUAA
rnacentral:rRNA from 1 species